UGCUCUGAAAUUCAACGAAAGCCACCCAGCGCCUGCCUGAAAGGACUCUGACAAAUGGCAGCAGCUGGAGAACAGGUUCGGCUGCCUCCAGCUCCCCUGGGCAGCGCCAGGACCUGUGGGCUGUGGGUGCGGAAAGCACACUAGCUGCGUGCUGUUUGCUCAGCCAUAACCUUCCUGAAGCACAUGUCUGUUGGUGAGAACUCGGCCUGAAAAAGUCAACAGAAGGCUUCUGGCUGCUUCUCAGGCUGCUGAUCCCUUAAUGCAGAUCCAGAACUUCCUGUCCUCGGUGUAGCGAUUUCACAGCACAGGGCGUCCUGGCUGGGCCUCCCCCACCCGCAGGCCUGCGGUCACGGCUCGUGCUGGUUGUCUGGCCUUCCUCGAGGGAGGGCUCUUGGAAACAUAUUUCUAGAAGGUGGCCUCCUCCAGCUCCUGCCCUUCCCCACCUGGCUGCAGCAUCCUGGGGCUCAGGCCAGAAGCCACACGUGGAUGUUCCGCGUGGACACACGGGUGCAGAUGCUCUGAUUGAAGUGGCUAGGGCACUCCCGCUUUGAGCAAGUGUAUGAAUGGAGGAAGUUUUCUUUGUCUUGGAGAAAAGCCUUUCGUGAUGAAGACAAAUGGUUAAAUGAAAAGCCCGUGUUGGGCUUUGCUGAUAGAAGGUUUGAGGAAAUGAUUUGU
rnacentral:lncRNA from 1 species